rnacentral:rRNA from 1 species
CCCUUAGAUGUUCUGGGCCGCACGCGCGCUACACUGAUGCAUUCAACGAGUCUAAAACCUGCUCUGAUAGGGGUGGGUAAUCUUUUGAAUGUGCAUCGUGAUUGGGAUAGAUGAUUGCAAUUUUUCACCUUCAACGAGGAAUGCCUAGUAAACGCAAGUCAUCAGCUUGCAUUGAUUACGUCCCUGCCCUUUGUACACACCGCCCGUCGCUCCUACCGAUUGAAUGAUCCGAUGAAUAUCAUGGAUUGAGGAUGCAAGUAGGUCCGCCUAUCUUCAUCUUCGAGAAGUGAAGUAAAUCUUAUCAUUUAGAGGAAGGAGAAGUCGUAACA